CUGAGUGCGCCGCGGGUUCAGCCGGGCAGGGUCGCCUCGCGCCAGGAUGCUGCGCCCCGCCGCCCUGUCCAGCCAGCAACCCUGGCGCGACCCCGGGAAGAAGCACAGGUUCUUUCGUCCAGUCGCCACUGGAGGACCGAAAGUUUUGCUCGCUGCAAGUCCCUUCCUCCCAGAGUCCCAGUCACCCACCGUGCGACGUCCUAGAAGGAUCCCGGAGGCUUAGUGGGAACGAAAUCGGCUGUUUUGCACCCCUCCAUCCUUAGCUCUCAGGGUAGAGCAGGGACUCUAGAGAGUACACCUCCCAGCUACCAUCCACUUCACCCUGUCUCCUCUCUCGGUGAGCCUUGGAAUCCGGUCUCUUCGCAGAUGCCUUCAGGAGGCAGAAGCAAAGGGGAAAUGGACAUAACUCCGAGAAACCGAGAGUGAAUGUCCAGCCUCAGCAACAGCUUUGCCAGCGUGGGCUUCUUUGAUCACACCCUACCACAACUAGGAGACCUAAACCUUGCUCACUGACAGCAUUUGAAGAUGCAAAUACUGCUAUGGAUUGGAAGGUGCCUGAGGAAUGAAAGGGGACAUAGCCAUUAUGAACCACCUCGUGAGAUUUUAGGGAAGAAAGACCAUAGUGAUUGCAUCUAUUAAGAAGUCCUUACUGACCUGCAUGGUGAGGCUUGUGUGAAAUUUCAGCAUGCGGGAGAUUGAGACAGAAGGAUCACAAGUUCAAGGCCACCCUAGGCUAUGUAUCAAGAGCUUGUUUUGAACAAAGGAAAAAGAAAAAAGAAACGGCAGUACAUAAUUUCUCGUAAGUCCAUGGUAAUUUGUUACAGUAGCCCC